GUCAAGUCAUCAUGCCCCUUAUGUCCAGGGCUGCACGCAUGCUACAAUGGCAAGUACAACGAGUCGCAAUACCGCGAGGUGGAGCAAAUCUCUUAAAGCUUGUCUCAGUUCGGAUAGGAGUCUGCAACUCGACUCCUUGAAGUUGGAGUCGCUAGUAAUCGCAAAUCAGCAAAGUUGCGGUGAAUACGUUCUCGGGGUUU
rnacentral:rRNA from 1 species